AUUGAACGCUGGCGGCAGGCCUAACACAUGCAAGUCGAGCGGAUGAAGGGAGCUUGCUCCUGGAUUCAGCGGCGGACGGGUGAGUAAUGCCUAGGAAUCUGCCUGGCAGUGGGGGAUAACGUCCGGAAACGGGCGCUAAUACCGCAUACGUCCUGAGGGAGAAAGAGGGGGAUCUUCGGACCUCACGCUAUCAGAUGAGCCUAGGCCGGAUUAGCUAGUUGGUGGGGUAAAGGCCUACCAAGGCGACGAUCCGUAACUGGUCUGAGAGGAUGAUCAGUCACACUGGAACUGAGACACGGUCCAGACUCCUACGGGAGGCAGCAGUGGGGAAUAUUGGACAAUGGGCGAAAGCCUGAUCCAGCCAUGCCGCGUGUGUGAAGAAGGUCUUCGGAUUGUAAAGCACUUUAAGUUGGGAGGAAGGGCAGUAAGUUAAUACCUUGCUGUUUUGACGGUACCAACAGAAUAAGCACCGGCUAACUACGUG
rnacentral:rRNA from 1 species